AGGAAGGUGGGGAUGAUGUCAAGUCAGCAUGGCCUUUAUAUCCUGGGCUACACACACGCUACAAUGGCCAACACAAUAGGUUGCUAAGCCGCGAGGUGGCGCCAAUCCAUAAAGUUGGUCUCAGUUCAGAUUGUAGGCUGCAACCCGCCUGCAUGAAGAUGGAGUUGCUAGUAACCGCAGGUCAGCUAUACUGCGGUGAAUACGUUCCCGGGGCUU
rnacentral:rRNA from 1 species